CUUUGAUGAAGUGUGGGGAAAAGUUUGUGUUUGAGUAGAAAUCGCAAUUUGCAGAAUCAAAAGAACAGGGAGUUGAGUCCUGAUUCUUUCCAGUUUCGGCUUCCUGGCCUGGGAAAAGAAGCCGGAAAGGGAAAGGAACAGAUUCUCCUCUAGAGACUCCGGAAGGAACGCGGCCCUUGAUACUGCCCAGUGCAACUGAGUUGGGACUUCUGGCCUCCAGCACUGUGAACACAGCAAUCUGUGACAGCAGCCACAGGAAGCGAACACACUGAACAAACGAUUAACCCUAACAUCAGGUGAAUCAGUGCUAUGGGGAUCAAAAGCCAGGGAAGGAGAUGGAGAGUGAGGAAGAAUGUUAAGUCAGUUGGGAUGGUGGGGGACACCUGAUCUCAGGUGAGAAGCCCUGUGACAACCCCUUGCUUGGGAAGUUACGAGAGCAGAGAGAUGCACUGUGGUUAUUGAAAAAGAGCAAAGGAGAGAAGAAACAGGAGCAAAGAGUAACCAGGGACGAGGUCCCCUAAUGGCUGCAGUUAAGAGUUUUGGAUUUGAAAUUAAAAAGAGACUUAACUUGGAUGAGCAAUGCGACUGAAUAUGUCAGAUCUGAUGAGCUGGUCCCCGGUUUCACAGAAAAACGCGGCUG